GAUGAACGCUAGCGAUAGGCCUAACACAUGCAAGUCGAGGGGCAGCAUAAGGAAGUAGCAAUACUUUCUGGUGGCGACCGGCGCACGGGUGAGUAACACGUAUGCAACCUGCCUUCAACAAGGGCAUAACCCGUUGAAAGACGGACUAAUACCCUAUAAUACAGGGGCCCCGCAUGGGGAUAUUUGUUAAAGAUUUAUCGGUUGAAGAUGGGCAUGCGUUCCAUUAGCUGGUUGGUGGGGUAACGGCCCACCAAGGCAACGAUGGAUAGGGGAACUGAGAGGUUUAUCCCCCACACUGGUACUGAGACACGGACCAGACUCCUACGGGAGGCAGCAGUGAGGAAUAUUGGUCAAUGGACGCAAGUCUGAACCAGCCACGUCGCGUGAAGGAAGACGGCCCUACGGGUUGUAAACUUCUUUUAUACGGGAAUAAAUGCCCCACGUGUGGGGUUUUGCAAGUACCGUAUGAAUAAGGAUCG
rnacentral:rRNA from 1 species